UGGACAGCCGAUGCAGAAAGGGCCUUCCAGGCCCUAAAAGAGGCCCUCACCAGCGCGCCGAUACUCCGCAACCCGGACUUUGACCUCCCGUUCACUGUACAUACUGAUGCUUCCGAGACCGGGCUGGGCGCCGUCCUCUCCCAGACCUUCGACGGGGAAGAACACCCAGUCCUCUACAUCAGCCGGAAGCUGUCCCCGGCCGAGAGGAAGUAUGCGGCGGUCGAGCGGGAGGCACUAGCAAUAAAAUGGGCCAUCGAGGAGCUGCGAUACUAUCUGGCGGGCAGGCACUUCAUCCUCAUAACAGACCACGCCCCCCCUGCAGUGGAUGGCCAAGGCGAAGGACACCAACGCCCGGGUAACCCGCUGGUUCCUCGCCUUACAAGACUUCUCCUUUCAGGUUAAGCACCGGGCGGGGGCCCAGCAUGGUAACGCGGAUGGGCUCUCACGACGAGACGCCCUCUGGGCCCACCACCGAGCGGCAGUAGGCUCGGAGCUGAGGGGGGGGACGCCGGCCCGGGAAAACCCCCGCCCUGCCUCGGGAAUCCCGCCUCCGCCACGAGUAGACUCCGCCGGCCGUCACGCCUUCACAAAACCCCGCACUCAUCCACUUAUAACCCAUUCACCUCACCCUAGCCACAAUAAACCACCGCUUGCAACCAUC